AUCUUUAAUUUAAGGACUGCCCCAAACGGUUGGGCCUAAGGGCUGAUCCAAUAAGGAAAAAAGAGAUCCUAAGUCUGUCCUCACACUUCUUUCCCCUACUCUUCAGAUUUUACACAGCCGUCAAACCCUCCUUUCGCAACCAAAAGCUCUGCUAGGGUUUAACCCCGAUCCCGAUCCUGUGAGCCCAGCCUCGUCUCUUUGAUUCGUCUUAUUCGUCUGUCCUGGGAGCUGUCGCAUCCCCGCUGUUGGAGUCGAACCCUUCAUCUAGCUAUUUCCAGGAGAACAUCUGGCAGUGGUAAUGAUGAGAGGGAUGGUACCGCUUGAUGGACUGGAUGGGUAUUGGGCCCAUUAUGGGGCCCACCGCUGAAGAUUGUAUUUUUGCUAUGUUUUCUUAUUUGUACAAGACUCGUGCUAUUAGUUCUCUAGUGCUUUUUGUUUUAGGCCGUGUGAGGCCUCUUUUACGUUUUAUGGAUAUGUUGGGGGUACGGAGUACUUCAUAUUCCAAAUCUCCGUACCCUCUGAAUAUUAUGUAUAUGGCGUUUUAGUUAAUGGGCUUUAACUAUUUAAU